rnacentral:rRNA from 1 species
UACGUAGGGUGCGAGCGUUAAUCGGAAUUACUGGGCGUAAAGCGUGCGCAGGCGGUGAUGUAAGACAGAUGUGAAAUCCCCGGGCUCAACCUGGGAACUGCAUUUGUGACUGCAUCGCUGGAGUGCGGCAGAGGGGGAUGGAAUUCCGCGUGUAGCAGUGAAAUGCGUAGAUAUCUGGAGGAACACCGGUGGCGAAGGCGGCAUCCUGGACCGGCACUGACGCUGAGGAGCGAAAGCCAGGGGAGCAAACGGG